GACGAACGCUGGCGGCGUGCCUAAUACAUGCAAGUCGAACGCUUUGAUUUUCACCGGAGCUUGCUCCACCGAAAAUCAAAGAGUGGCGGACGGGUGAGUAACACGUGGGCAACCUGCCCAACAGAGGGGGAUAACACUUGGAAACAGGUGCUAAUACCGCAUAAUUUGUUUUUCCGCAUGGAAGAAUAAUAAAAGACGCUUCGGUGUCACUGUUGGAUGGGCCCGCGCUGCAUUAGUUAGUUGGUGGGGUAACGGCCUACCAAGACCAUGAUGCAUAGCCGACCUGAGAGGGUGAUCGGCCACACUGGGACUGAGACACGGCCCAGACUCCUACGGGAGGCAGCAGUAGGGAAUCUUCGGCAAUGGACGAAAGUCUGACCGAGCAACGCCGCGUGAGUGAAGAAGGUUUUCGGAUCGUAAAACUCUGUUGUUAGAGAAGAACAAGUGAGAGAGUUACUGUUCUCACCUUGACGGUAUCUAACCAGAAAGCCACGGCUAACUACGUGCCAGCAGCCGCGGUAAUACGUAGGUGGCAAGCGUUGUCCGGAUUUAUUGGGCGCAAAGCGAGCGCAGGCGGUUUCUUAAGUCUGAUGUGAAAGCCCUCGGCUCAACCGAGGAAGGUCAUUGGAAACUGGGGAACUUGAGUGCAGAAGAGGAGAGUGGAAUUCCAUGUGUAGCGGUGAAAUGCGUAGAUAUAUGGAGGAACACCAGUGGCGAAGGCGACUCUCUGGUCUGUAACUGACGCUGAGGCUCGAAAGCGUGGGGAGCAAACAGG
rnacentral:rRNA from 1 species